rnacentral:SRP_RNA from 1 species
CCGUGCAGCUGGGAAGUUAGCGGCGUCCUAUACCUGAAAUCCGCUAUAGCAGGAGUGAUGGUCAGCCUCGGAUGUCUUAUUGAUGGAGCUGCCCUUUAUAAGUGGUGUUGACAAUUGGGUCUCGCGCAACAGGAAUCUCUGAACCGUGUCAGGUCGGGAACGGAGCAGCACUAAGGAGUCUCUCCUGUGUGCCGUGAGGGUGCCUGGUUCGAGCUAACUGUAGAGGUAACGUCUGUUGGUAAGCAUACAAAGCUGACCGCACGG